AAGUCGUAAACUGAACCUGCGGAAGGAUCAUUAACACGUAUCCAACGUUAAAACCCCCCCGUGAACUUUCAAUCCUGCUCUUGUACCCGCGUAGUUCGCAAUCUCUGGUAAAUCAUAGCCCGGAAAGUUGUUUUGAUUCAGAGAUGGCUACGUGAGAACAUUGGAACAGUUACAAUCGAGCGGUAGUUUCAUAGGCAUUGUUUCCCCAAGCAGUCAGUGUCGGAGUCAUUGAUUUUGCAAGGAUAGCGCUUCACGAUUCCUGUAGACCGUGCACUCGGGUCACAGGGUCCCCGAUCCCCCUUAUAACCCCACAGUUUAAUGUAAAGCUCAAUGUAAUACAUUGGUUAAAAAACCGAACAACUGUUUCCAAUGGAUAUCUUGGUUCUC
rnacentral:misc_RNA from 1 species